UCAAAUUUAAAAGGGGAACAAGAAAAUAAAACCCUAAGCUCAAAUGAACAUCUCUGAAUAUCAUCUUUUCCACUCGAUCUCUCUCAACUCACGUAAUUCCUAACCUAUCGACUCUCAAUCGUGAACGCAACUUUCGCUGAUUCUUCAAGCUGUUCGCCCUGCUCAAUCGUUCUCUUCGUUUCUGCAUUGACUCGUUACUCUCAUACACAUAACUGCAUUAAGGAUGGGAAGAAAAAAAAGCUGAGUUAGAUUCAAUGAUGCAGAAAAGAACAAGUUAAAUCAUUUGGUAGAUUGAAUAACACAAGUUAUUGAUUCAUCACUUUCGUAAGGUCAAUAUCAUACAUAAAAGAUGAUUACGUACUGUGUAGAAUUCUUCAUUUAUAUGGCAUCUCAGGUAUAGAUGUCUUCUUUGAUGAGUUUUAUCAGUAAUGGUCCAUUUCCAUGUUAAAGCCAAAAUGAAGACUAUAGCGUCUAGAGGAAGUAAUGCUAAUGCACGUAAUAAAACAAUUGUUAUGACUUUCUCUCCCUUCGAGAUUCAGAAAGGAGUUACAAAUUUUUUGAAAAUGUGUUUACUUUAUUCUAUCUUCUGGCAUGACGUGUGUUGGGACGGAGCUUGUUAAAGAUGCUGCCAAAAUUCCUAAAGGUACCAUGAACCAUCAAACGGUAUGUGAAAUUAAAGUUUUUUUUUUCUUUAUUUGUCAUUCAAUUGGGAUAAAUUGUUACUAAAACAGAAAGAUGAUGAUAUGAUAAGUGAAGAACAAGAACAGGGUAACAGAAAACUGUUUAAAUUUUUAUUCUAUUAGAAUCAAGUAUUAUUCGUUGAGAGCUAUUUAAUAAUACUAUUGAGCUGUUAAAAAAAAAAAAGCUACAGGAGAUAUGUUAACCUAUGCUUCCACUUAAUAUUGAUUUGCAUAGAUUAGCGUGAUCAUUUUUUUUAUUUGUUUUGUAUUGGAAAGUUCUUGCUCAUAAGUGGCAGUAAUAAAGUCAAACAACUUUCAAGGGAUCUAAAGUCAUUCGAUAGGAAGGUACCAUUCAAUAAUGAAGGUAAGUGCAGUCAUGGUACCAAUUAAGAAUGUAUAUCAUGGAGCAUGUGGAUUACAGCCUCUAGAACGAUCAAUACAUAUAUUUAUAGGAGAUUUAUUUGUAAUACCGACUAUAGACACACAAAAAAAAUUAGUUAAGCAUAAAGUGCUUAAUAUUAUGCUAAGUUAGUCUAGGUAUGGAUUUAAUGUAAUGAUAGAUUCUUUUUAUGUAUCAUAAUUUUUUAUUUAUGAUAUUUAUAUUAUGUUCA